rnacentral:rRNA from 1 species
GACGAACGCUGGCGGCAUGCUUAACACAUGCAAGUCGAACGGAAAGGCCCUGCUUUUGUGGGGUGCUCGAGUGGCGAACGGGUGAGUAACACGUGAGUAACCUGCCCUUGACUUUGGGAUAACUUCAGGAAACUGGGGCUAAUACCGGAUAGGAGCUCCUGCUGCAUGGUGGGGGUUGGAAAGUUUCGGCGGUUGGGGAUGGACUCGCGGCUUAUCAGCUUGUUGGUGGGGUAGUGGCUUACCAAGGCUUUGACGGGUAGCCGGCCUGAGAGGGUGACCGGCCACAUUGGGACUGAGAUACGGCCCAGACUCCUACGGGAGGCAGCAGUGGGGAAUAUUGCUCAAUGGGCGGAAGCCUGAUGCAGCAACGCCGCGUGCGGGAUGACGGCCUUCGGGUUGUAAACCGCUUUCGCCUGUGACGAAGCGUGAGUGACGGUAAUGGGUAAAGAAGCACCGGCUAACUACGUG